UCCGGCUUAACACCGGCAGUCUCCUUAGAGUCCCCGGCAUGACCCGCUGGUAACUAAGGACAAGGGUUUCGCUCGUUAAGGGACUUAACCCGACAUCUCACAACACGAGCUGACGACAGCCAUGCAGCACCUGUGUACGUUCCACCCUUGCGGGUGUUACUUCCCUUUCAGGAAGCUAAUCCGUACAUGUCAAACCUAGGAUAAGGUUCUUCGCGUAGCCUCGAAUUAAGCCACAUGCUCCACCGCUGGUGUGAGCCCCCGUCAAUUCCUUUGAGUUUCAGCCUUGCGACCAUACUCCCCAGGCGGGGUACUUAACACUUUCGCUACGGCAGAAGGUGCCAUCGGAGCACUUUCUACCCAGUACCCAUCGUUUAAGGCUAGGACUAC
rnacentral:misc_RNA from 1 species